GAGAAAGUUCCUGCUUAAAUUGAUUCGGGGAUCCCAAGGAGCUGGGUCGUUCACAACCUUCUAUACCUCAACACACUCCCACACACCUGUGUCCCGGACGGUCAUUUCAGCAACCUUCCUUCAAAUAGCAAUUCCAUAAGCCUAUAGGUUUAUAGGUUUUAAGCUUGGACCUCAAGAAAAUCUAUUAAAACCCCAAAGAAUACAUAUCUUAUUCAGUAUACAUAUCAUAGGUAAAUGCAUGGUUGUGAAUUUGUUUCCAAAUUUAGGAGCUUUUCAAAGGACUCACCAGAAACCCAUCACUGGCCUUCCAAAUAAAAGCACUGAGCCCAUGGGGUGUUGGGGGUGGGAUGGGCACAGUUUAUAUUUUAUUGUUCUCUUGCAGGAUGAUAACCCAGGAGAUUUUAAUCUUUGAGCUAAGACUGAAGAUCCUUACUCUCAAAUGCUUACCCUUCAGAGCUAGCAGCUGGAGAGCUCCUUGACCCUCCUGAUUUCAGAGUCUGGUUUUUAGAAUUGCAGCUGGUGCUUCCAGGCGGCCU
rnacentral:lncRNA from 1 species